UACGUAGGGGGCCAGCGUUGUCCGGAAUCAUUGGGCGUAAAGAGCGUGUAGGCGGCCCGGUAAGUCCGCUGUAAAAGUCAAAGGCUCAACCCUUUGAAUGUCAGUGGAUACUGCCGGGCUAGAGUCCGGAAGAGGUGAGUGGAACUCCUGGUGUAGCGGUGGAAUGCGCAGAUAUCAGGAAGAACACCAACGGCGAAGGCAGCUCGCUGGGACGGUACUGACGCUGAGACGCGAAAGCGUGGGGAGCGAACAGG
rnacentral:rRNA from 1 species